rnacentral:rRNA from 1 species
UACGUAGGGUGCGAGCGUUAUUCGGAAUUACUGGGCGUAAAGCGUGCGCAGGCGGUCUGUUAAGACCGAUGUGAAAUCCCCGGGCUUAACCUGGGAACUGCAUUGGUGACUGGCAGGCUUUGAGUGUGGCAGAGGGAGGUAGAAUUCCACGUGUAGCAGUGAAAUGCGUAGAGAUGUGGAGGAAUACCGAUGGCGAAGGCAGCCUCCUGGGCCAACACUGACGCUCAUGCACGAAAGCGUGGGGAGCAAACAGG